rnacentral:sRNA from 1 species
UUCAACACAUCGCCGGGUUCAAAGGGGUCACAGUACACAAUCUGGCGGAGCGGAAGCGUCCGCUCUAGAUGGAGUGCAGCUCAAACUGCAUCAGCUGUGACGCCUCUCAAACUGUGCGGCGGUGUUAUCGCUUGUUAUCGAUUUUGUUGGGUUUAAAUGAAUUUCGGUUGGAAAUUUGUCGUAUUUUUUUCUUUUCAACUAUUUGUUAGAAAAUAGUUACUAACUAACUUUAAAAGCUUAUCAUUCCGCACAGCUUUAUGAAGAAGAACUAGAAUACACAAUGACUGGAACAUUUUAAAA